UCCCGGCGGAGUCGCAGGGAGAAUUUUUGUUUCGUUUUGCUCCGGUUUUCUCGCCUACUUUUUUUUUUUUUUUUACAGAAAGCAGUUCCGCGUCUUAAAAUCGGAUAAAUAUUUGCUGAGCCGGCGAAAGCUUGCCGUGAAGGCCAGCAGCGCCAACCCUUUCCUUUAGCUUACACAGCGCCGACUACGGACUUCCCCUCAGGAGGGAGGCGUUGCCUUAGCGAGCCGGCCGAGUCUGAGGGGAGAAAAGGCCGCGGCCAGAGGAGCGAGGGAGGCCGAAUCACCUCAGAGCGCCAAAAGCCCGCCUUCCCCCGAGCCAAAAUGGGGCGGAUGCCUCGCUACGCCAGGCUACACUCGGUUUCUCAGACUGCCGGCAUGAGGAGGGAAACCCUUACGAGUCCCCGCAAAACUCGCCCCUGGCUGUCCGCUUCCUCCCCUGGCUGCGCCGCCAUUGCAAGGCUGAAGGGGGAAGGAAGAGCCGCCUCAUGGCCGCCUCAGCAAGACUGGCCUGAGGCAAGUGCCACUGCUUUAUCCGCGCAGCCAGGGCAAAGUGGAGCAGGAGUGUACUGUUUCGACAGCAUCUCCCCCAAAAGCCUAGAAGCAGUUCUUCAUUUCUUUUGCUUACAUUAUUUAAGAAAAAUAAAAAUAUUCGCCCCCGCAGAUCCAAGGAGUGAAGUGGCGCAGCAGGUGGUUCUUUAUUAUUUCUUGAAUUUACUGUAUAUACCGCCCUUAUACCCGGAGGUCUCACAGGGCGGUUCACAUAAAAGGAGCAACAUAAAAACCACAAACUCAAACGAAAAAUAACAACCCAAUUACACCCCCCCCCAAAAAAGAGACACACAUUUUUUUAAAAGGGCAUUCCUCUUCCUAGUACCUCACAACGACCCUGUGAGGUAGGUUAGGCAGAGAAAGCGUGGGGAGGGGGUACAUGAUUGACUCAAGGUGGGCUGAGUGGGGGGAUAUGAACCCUGGUCUCCCACCCGGGAUCCUUUUUUUUGUAUGUGAGCAAGUGGCCCUCAUAAUGCCACCUCAGAAGUAAAACCCGCCAAGUCUCAGGUAAAAUGGGCACAGCCUAAGCAAAGGAAGGAAAGCAUGCAUGUGAACAAAGAGACGGAUUACAGAAAUAGGGCAGCAAGAUGCUGGUGCGUUUUUUAUCCUAUUUAAAGGCUGCUUUUGUUCCAUUUCUCUCAGCUAAAACUUUUUGGCAAGGCCUGUGUGCACAUUCCAAGCACGUUCACAUUUCUGUCUCAGCGACGUCUACGCUGGCUUGGUCUUGUGCACAGAAUGGAAGAUGGCAAGAUCCCCACGGGCGUCUGGCUUCAGGCACUGGCAUGACACGAAGGCUAGCAACAUCAACCCCACUGGUGUGGGAAUAAUCCCAUUGCAUGGAGACGGCUAUGUCAGGUCAUAUAUCCACAGCAGUGACCAGGCGAGGGAUGACUGCUGGGAGGAGUGAAGAAAGAAGAAACGCCAUGGUGCACCUGCAGCAGCACAACUGGAUGCCUUCAUCUGCCUUGGCUGCGACAAAACACGUGUUGGUAUCUGCAGCCACAGCAGGCGCUGUAACUCCAACGGUUUGACUUCUCCUGAAGGUGCACUCUUCCAUAUUCUUCCAGACAGAUGCCAACAUCAUCAGUGCUAGAGUGCAGAAUUAGCGCUGAGGACAUCAAGGUUGAAACGGCUACACAGCAGGUGGUGCAAAGUCCAUCCCAUGAUCUCCAAGAAGGAACCAGAAAUAAGAGUAAUGUAUCAGGCCCAAUGACCAGGGGACGGACAUGACUGAUCCAGAUACUUCAGGGUUUGACCCUACGAAAAUCAUUUACCCACCGAAAAAAUGGAAAAACAAAUGACUCAAAAAGUUUUGCAGCAAGUUGAAGGCUGCCAAGAAGGUACCGGGACCACAUUGCUCACUGCUUUUGAUGUGAAAGACUAGCACCGAGAGUCAGUGUGGUGUAGUGGAUUAGGGGGCCCAAAGUGCUAGAUAACACUCUUACUGGUGACAUGAGAAAUCUUUAAAAUUCCUGUUAACACCAUAAUAAUUCCUAGUGUAAUGUCCUUUUGUUUUGAGCUGAAAUGAGUUAUGUGAACAGCCCAUUUAAAAUGUUUCGAUCAUUAUCCCUUUUAAAUAUGAAGUCUUACCUUGAAAGAGGGUACUAUCUUUGAUCUUCAUAUUCACAUUCAUAUUCAUUUAUAGAACUCGGGUCAGGAUUCAUCUGAGUCCCAUCAAUUGAAGCCCUGUGCAACAACUUCCGCAAUGAGGUCUUCCCCCUCUUCUCCCCCAUGCCCUCUCCCCAAUUGGUUGGGGUGGGUGGGUUGGGGAACACCCAAAACAGCACUUUGGGAGCAGGAAGGAAAGGGCAGAUCAUUUUGUCUGGCAAGCUGAAAUGUGCUGCCAGAAUGAUCAGAAGACUGUGACAUUGAAUUCCUCCCCUUUCCAGAGCAUACCUUCACAAUAUUUCCAUAACAAAAUAAAUUUUCUUAAAUUCAUUGGUGAAUAUAAUGCAUUAACAUCACCUGAUCGUGAAUUCUUAGAAAUAUUUUAAUGGGGAAGCACACACAGGUUUUACACUUUUC